CAGAAUAAAAUAAUCUGAAUCAAAACAAAAAAAAAAUAAUAAAAAAAUAAAUUACCAAAGUUAUUCUGAAGAACGCUAGCAGAACCAUGCCAAAAAGACCGUGUGACGCUCGUCACACAUUCUAUCACGGGCGUCACACAAAGCGCUUGUGACGCCCGUCAUGCUCCUGUAACGAGCGUAACGCCAUGUUAACGUUACAAAGACCGUUGGAGACGAAUGUUACAACCCUACAACUUUUUACCUUCCCCAUUUAUUCACAUUUACCCACAUUUAUUCACUUUUCAACCACUCCCUUCCCAACUUCAAAAUUUUUCCCUAUAAAUACCCACCAUACCUUUCUUCCAAAACCACAACUAUUCUAUACAAUCAAAUAUAUUUCCUUUUCUUUCCUAAUUACUUCUUCCAACUCAUU
rnacentral:lncRNA from 1 species